rnacentral:sRNA from 1 species
CAUCCGCCUGCUGUGGGCAUAUGAAGUGAAUAUGAGAGUCGAGGCCGCCAGCCGUGAUAAUCUUUCCCUCACCAGCGAUGACGUCGGUACAGCUGCCCACGACCAUCCCCGGCGAUACGCCGUCCAUGACAUCGGGGUUGCCUGCCUUGCCGAUUCCUACAAUGUGUCCGUUCUUGACACCAAUAUCGGCUUUGUAAAUGCCCGUCGAGUCAACCACGAGAGCAUUGGUCACUACCAUGUCUAGAGAAUCGGCGUCGAGUCGCCCGGUUGCUUGUCCCAUGCCCUCGCGCAG